GUUCAAUGUUGAAUGCUUGUUGUAGGAUUACUUAUUUUAGUCUACGUUCAUCACCAUGGACAUAUGAUAAUUUUUUUUUCUUUCAAAUCUCAAGUCAAAUGAACGAAUCAAGCAUUCUUUUUUACUGGUAGUGUGAGUCUUUGAGUUAAGCAUUCUUAGGCCUUUGCUUGCAUAUAAUCUCAUGGUCUAAUGUCCAUCCUCCCCUCGUGGGUUUAUUUGUUUUGUCCUAUUUGUGGUCGAUAAUACAGAGGUAGUUUUGGAUUGCAAUUCAUAAUUGGUUUGGCGUAGUUUUACCCUCGUUUUAGACAAUGUUCCAGCCUUAAUCUUUAUCAUUGUUUAGAUUGACGUUAUCUGUCCUAAGCAUGACUGACUGUUUUUUU
rnacentral:misc_RNA from 1 species